rnacentral:tRNA from 1 species
GGAGAGAUGGCAGAGCGGUUGAAUGCACCGGUCUUGAAAACCGGCGUAGGUUAAUAGCCUACCCAGGGUUCGAAUCCCUGUCUCUCCG